ensembl:misc_RNA Metazoa_SRP Metazoan signal recognition particle RNA
GCUGGGUGUGGUGGUGCACACCUGUAGUCUCAGCUACUCAGGAAGCUGAGACAGGAGAAUCGCUUGAACUCAGGAGGCGGAGGUUGCAGUGAGCUGAGAUGGCACCACUGCACACUCCAGCCUGGGUGACAGAGUGAGACCCUGUCUCAA